rnacentral:rRNA from 1 species
AUAACAAUACAGGACUCUUUCCAGGUCCUGUAAUUGGAAUGAGUCCACUUUAAAUCCUUUAACGAGGAUCUAUUGGAGGGCAAGUCUGGUGAAGAGCGACUAACCCGUGCGUGCUGCAGCUGAAA